rnacentral:rRNA from 1 species
GACGAACGCUGGCGGCGUGCCUAAUACAUGCAAGUCGAACGCUGAAGGAGGAGCUUGCUCUUCUGGAUGAGUUGCGAACGGGUGAGUAACGCGUAGGUAACCUGCCUGGUAGCGGGGGAUAACUAUUGGAAACGAUAGCUAAUACCGCAUAAUAGUAGAUGUUGCAUGAUAUUUACUUAAAAGGUGCAAUUGCACCACUACCAGAUGGACCUGCGUUGUAUUAGCUAGUUGGUGGGGUAACGGCUCACCAAGGCGACGAUACAUAGCCGACCUGAGAGGGUGAUCGGCCACACUGGGACUGAGACACGGCCCAGACUCCUACGGGAGGCAGCAGUAGGGAAUCUUCGGCAAUGGACGAAAGUCUGACCGAGCAACGCCGCGUGAGUGAAGAAGGUUUUCGGAUCGUAAAGCUCUGUUGUAAGAGAAGAACGAGUGUGAGAGUGGAAAGUUCACACUGUGACGGUAUCUUACCAGAAAGGGACGGCUAACUACGUG